UACGGGAGGCAGCAGUGGGGAAUAUUGCACAAUGGGCGCAAGCCUGAUGCAGCCAUGCCGCGUGUAUGAAGAAGGCCUUCGGGUUGUAAAGUACUUUCAGUCGUGAGGAAGGUGUUAAGGUUAAUAACCUUAGCAAUUGACGUUAGCGACAGAAGAAGCACCGGCUAACUCCGUGCCAGCAGCCGCGGUAAUACGGAGGGUGCGAGCGUUAAUCGGAAUUACUGGGCGUAAAGGGCACGCAGGCGGUUAAUUAAGUUGGAUGUGAAAUCCCCGGGCUUAACCUGGGAAUGGCAUUCAAGCUGGUUAGCUAGAGUCUUGUAGAGGGGGUAGAAUUCCAUGUGUAGCGGUGAAAUGCGUAGAGAUGUGGAGGAUACCGGUGGCGAAGGCGGCCCCUGGACAAGACUGACGCUCAUGUGCGAAAGCGUGGGGAGCGAAAC
rnacentral:rRNA from 1 species